rnacentral:misc_RNA from 1 species
GGAGAAUCUGAUCCGGCGGGAUCCGGCGAAGGCCGCCGUCCCCGGCGGCGGCCUCCAUCCGAUCACGCGGUACGUGAUGAAUUACCUCCGUGCGGCGUGUGCGUCGCGGCGGACGCUGGAGGAGGUGAUGGAGGAGGAUGCGGCACCGGCGGUGGAGCUGGAUCGGCCGUCAUCGUUGCUAGCGGUGCAGAUUGCGUGGUUAAUGGAUGUGCUGCAGGGGAAUUUGGAGGCGAAGUCGAAGAUUUACAAGGAUGCGGCUCUGAGCUGUGUGUUCUUGAUGAACAAUGGGAGGUAUAUUAUACAGAAAGUGAAAGAUAGUGAGCUGAGCUUGCUGCUCGGGGAGGAUUGGAUUCGGCGGAUGACAGUGAAGGUGCGGCGGUGGAGCAAC